CCAUACGGUUUCUUCCAUAUCCGCAUCUCCCAAAAAAUUCUCCAACCAAAAUCCAUUCCCUUUCAUAUAUAUAUUCUUUCCCAACGCAACUUCAUCAACUUUUUUUAUGAAGCUGAUGUUAUCUUAUUCCUCCCAGCAAAGAGAUUGAGCGACGACGGGCGUAGAGGAUGUUGAGCAGAAUUCAUGGAUUAUUUAUGUUUGGCUUAAUAUUGUUGGAUAUGUCGUGUCUUCAUACUCGGCAUUUUCCGUGUCUUGAACGCUUCCGCUAGGUGUCUUUUCUUUAAAAUUGUUUUAGUAUUGAGAACCUAACUCCUUUCAAAAUUGUCUACUUUCUAGUCUUUA